rnacentral:rRNA from 1 species
UACGUAGGUUGCGAGCGUUAAUCGGAAUUACUGGGCGUAAAGCGUGCGCAGGCGGUGAUGUAAGACAGAUGUGAAAUCCCCGGGCUCAACCUGGGACCUGCAUUUGUGACUGCAUCGCUAGAGUACGGCAGAGGGGGAUGGAAUUCCGCGUGUAGCAGUGAAAUGCGUAGAUAUGCGGAGGAACACCGAUGGCGAAGGCAAUCCCCUGGGCCUGUACUGACGCUCAUGCACGAAAGCGUGGGGAGCAAACAGG